CAGUCGCCACGGUAAUACAGAGGGUGCAAGCGUUAAUCGGAAUUACUGGGCGUAAAGCGCGCGUAGGUGGUUUGUUAAGUUGGAUGUGAAAUCCCCGGGCUCAACCUGGGAACUGCAUCCAAAACUGGCAAGCUAGAGUAUGGUAGAGGGUGGUGGAAUUUCCUGUGUAGCGGUGAAAUGCGUAGAUAUAGGAAGGAACACCAGUGGCGAAGGCGACCACCUGGACUGAUACUGACACUGAGGUGCGAAAGCGUGGGGAGCAAACAGGAUUAGAUACCCGCGUAGUCCCUGUCUUUAUACA
rnacentral:rRNA from 1 species